CAUUUCAUACUAGUUUUUUUUUUUUUUCUUUUUUUUUUUCUAUACAAAUUAUGGCUAUAUUUUAAGACAUAAACAAUUUGUUAAUAUUGUUAGAUUAAUGUCUAAUGAACCAUCACUCUUGUUUUUUUUUUUUUUUUUUUUUUUUUUAACGUAACUAUUUAAUAAUUUUUUAAAAGUGAAUAAAAAUAUAUGUAUUAAAAAAGAGAAGCAUUUUUUUUUUUUUUUUUUUUUGCUUAAAUAAAAUCAAAUACUUGGCAAAAAAAAAAAAAAAAAAAAAAAAAAAAAAAAAAAAAAAAAAAAAAAAAAAAAAAUAUAUAUAUAUAUAUAUAUAUGCACAUACAUAUUUAUAGCUAAAAAAUUAAAAAAAAAAAAUUUUAAUUAUAUAUUAAAUUCAUAGACGGCUACCUAAACAUAUUAAUGCUUUUAUAAAGUACGUUUAUAGCUAGCCAGAUAAGUAUAUAUAUACAUAUAUAUAUUUUUUUUUUUAUUGUAAAUUUAUCCUGAUAAACAGCCAUAAUUUAUCAACAAGCUUUUUCUAAAUUCGUAAGAAAAAACAAAAAAAAGAAAAGCUCAAUAAACACUAAAAAAAAAAAAAUGUUUUUUUUUUA
rnacentral:lncRNA from 1 species